GUGGGCUGAAUCCAGAAAAGGGAAGAUUGGCAUCCAGAGUGUUUGGAGAGUGGGCCCAUAAGAGAACAUUGUGUGUGUAUGUGUGUGUGUGUGUGUGUGUGUGUGUGUGUGUGUGUGCACGUGCACGCACGUAUGUGUUGGGGGCUGUGUAGCUUCUCCUAACUUCACCAUGCAGAAGUCAAGGAAACGGUUACAGAGGCAAAAUGUGGGAGUAGCUAAUGGCAAUGGCCCAGAGAGAUGAAAAAAUGUGAGAAAACCAAAGCUUGGAGGUAGGAACUUUCCGAUUCUUUUGGAGUAGACUAAGGUGACUUAAGUAGGAAAAGAACGCAUAGCCAGUAACUCUCCCAACAGAACUGGAUUCGUGCCUGGGGUGAUUCAGGAUGUCCAGUUAAGCUGGGAAAUACUGAUUCCACUGAUCCCCUUCAUUCACUCAGAGCAGACCGAAGACUGUGAGACUUCCUCCCCACAGUGAGCUAAAAGGACGCUUUUGUCAGAGUGGGGAAAUAAAAGGGCUUUAUGGGAAGGAAGAUAAGAACAGAUGAGUCAGAGGUUUCUGCUUAAUGGUGGUACAGCCAAGCAGACAGGCAAGUAAGUGGCCAUACUGCUACUGCCUCAUGUAGGAUCCGGCAGGCUGGUGGGUUAUCAGUCCUCACGUGGGACCCUCCCACCAUGGCAGCUGAGCACAUCCAAGCUGGGGGAUCCUGAAGAGACCUUCACCUGGGUGCCACGUGGAAGAUUGGCCAGCACCAUUUUGACUCCUGUGGAUGGUUCCAGGUAAAGACAAUCCUUGCACAAGGCUUCCAACUCGACCCGCCUACUGACCUGGAGAAUGAAAGUGUCCUGCCUCGGGGCCCCUCAGAUCAGCACCCAAACUGCACCUGGUCACCUGUCUACAUUCAGAUUUAGAUGAAAGCCACACCAUGGAGGCAGCCAGAGGCCCAUGGGAGAUGUCUGGAUUCGCAGAGGAAUAGCUCCAUGUGAUGCAAACCUUGACUAAUGGGAACAGGAAAAGGGAGGAAACCAGGAAGAUAAAUCUCCCUCCCUUCUCAUUGCUCCUUGCAACCCUUCCCACUUGAAGCAUGACCACAUUUAAUGAACAACCUGCUGUGUCUCUUGGAAGCUUGCUGCAAGGCAGCAAUCAGCACAAUAACAUUGUAUUGUAUCUUCCUCUGCUUCACUUCUCUUCCUCCCUCACCCUCACUGCCCUGAGCUGGCACAUCCCAAAGAAAGCAUUACCACAUUAAUCCUUGUCUCAGACUCUGCUUUCAAGAGGAUCUAGGUGAAGGAAAUUCCUAUUACUCCACCUCUUCAUCACCUCUUCAAAUGUCAGACUUUAAAAAUGGUGUCAUUUUGUUGAGUGUAUCUCAUUGUGGUUUUAAUUUGCAUUUUCCUGAUUAUGAAUGGGGUUGGCUAACUUUUCCUAUGUUUAUUGGAUUUCUUCAUUUUUGAAGUGCUUGUUUAAGUUUUCUACUAAUUUUUCUAUUGGGUUGUCUUUUUUUUUUCUUUCUUUCUUUUUAAGACAGAAUCUUGCUCUGUUGCCCUGGCUAGAGUGCAGUGAUGUAAUAAUAGCUCACUGAAACCUCGAACUCCUGGGCUCAAGCAAUUAUCCCAUCUCGGCCUCCCAAGUAGCUGGAACUACAGGUGUGCACCACUACCACCAUGC
rnacentral:lncRNA from 10 species